rnacentral:rRNA from 1 species
GAUGAACGCUGACAGAAUGCUUAACACAUGCAAGUCAACUGUGGCGGACGUGUGAGUAACGCGUAAAGAACUUGCCUCACAGUUAGGGACAACAUUUGGAAACGAAUGCUAAUACCUGAUACUGUGAGAGCGCUUUGCGUCCCAUUAGCUAGUUGGAGAGGUAACGGCUCGCCAAGGCGAUGAUGGCUAGCAGGCCUGAGAGGGUGAUCGGCCACAAGGGGACUGAGACACGGCCCUUACUCAUACGGGAGGCAGCAGUGGGGAAUAUUGGACAAUGUACCAAAGUCUGAUCCAGCACUUCUGUGUGCACGAUGAAGUUUUCGGAAUGUAAAGGGCUUUCAGUUGGGAAGCGGUACCAACAGAAGAAGUGACGGCUAAAUACGUGCCAGCAGCCGCGGGAAUAC